rnacentral:rRNA from 1 species
UUCCGGUUGAUCCUGCCGGACCCCACUGCUAUCGGGAUGGGACUAAAACAUGCUAGUCGUGCGUCUCUAAGCCAUGGUGGAGGCGCGGCGCACAGCUCAGUAACACGUGGCUAACCUGCCCUUGGGACAGGGACAACCCCGGGAAACUGGGGCUAAUCCCUGAUAGGUGAGGACUCCUGGAAUGGAUCCUCGCUCGAAAGGGUGUCUAGACCAUGCUUCUAGGCGCUGCCCAAGGAUGGGGCCGCGGCCGAUCAGGUUGUUGGUGAGGUAACGGCUCACCAAGCCUUUAACCGGUACGGGCCGUGAGAGCGGGAGCCCGGAGAUGGGCACUGAGACAAGGGCCCAGGCCCUACGGGGCGCAGCAGUCGCGAAAACUCCGCAAUACGCGAAAGCGUGACGGGGUCAUCCCGAGUGCCAUCCGCUGAGGAUGGCUUUUCCCCAGUGUAUAAAGCUGGGGGAAUAAGGAGAGGGCAAGCCUGGUGUCAGCCGCCGCGGUAAUACCAGCUCUCCGAGUGGUGGGGAUGUUUAUUGGGCCUAAAGCAUUCGUAGCUGGCUGGGCAAGUCCUCCGUUAAAUCCAGCGAUUCAAUCGUUGGACUGCGGGGGAUACUGUCCGGCUAGGGGGCGGGAGAGGCCGGCGGUAUUCUCGGGGUAGGGGUGAAAUCCUAUAAUCCCGGGAGGACCACCAGUGGCGAAGGCUGUCGGCUAGAACGCGCCCGACGGUGAGGGAUGAAAGCUGGGGGAGCGAACCGGAUUAGAUACCCGGGUAGUCCCAGCUGUAAACGAUGCAGGCUAGGUGUUGGCGCGGCUACGUGCCGCUCCGGUGCCGCAGAGAAGUCGUUAAGCCUGCCGCCUGGGGAAGUACGGCCGCAAGGCUGAAACUUAAAGGAAUUGGGCGGGG